AAGGAAUAUUUGUAUAACAAAAUCUUAUUUUGAAAAUAUUAAGUUCUGAAUUGUUGUUAAUACUCCUAAAUAUGUUUGCUUUUUAUGACCAUUAAAGGUACUCAACUCACGAUUUAAGAUAGUAUUUAUAAAUGUAAAAAUUAAUGACGAUAACCUAGAAGUUAAAAAUAAACGAUUUGGAUCAUUUUUAUCAAGCUACCCAUGAGCAUCAAAUAUAUAUAUUAUUCUAAAAUGGCUUAACUAUAUAGUUUUACAACAUAUAAAAUUAUUUUUGUACUAGUAUAUUUUAGUGGCAUUUAAGCUUAAUUAAAAGAUUUUCACUGACUCUAAUUAUCUUGAAAUUGGUAAUGUUAAAAACUUAUUGAAUACAAUCAAUGUUUUAUUGAUUCAUUCAAAAAUUAACUCCUAUACAUUACGUAUAAUUUCAUGUUCUAAUUAAUUUAUCUAUUGAGCAAAGAAAAAGUCAAAACUGAACUAGCCUAUAGGAAGCGCACAAAGCUUAUUUUUGUCUGAAUUAUAAUAUUCCCGUAGCGGCCAUUACUGAUCAUAAUUUUAAUUAGGUACUGAAAUAUACUAAAUUUUGUGAAGUUUAUGCUGAUUGGAAGCAUCGAGAUGUCUGAACGAUGAUUAUAAUAACCCCGACAGCGAACAAUCAGCAAAUUCUUCUGUCUUUAAUACUAUAUAGCACCAUCGGCUUCUCCAUUCAAUGCCGAAAAAUGUCAAUUGUUACAGGAUAAAGUUGCAAGCAUAAAUAAAUAUUCUUGGACAUGUCGAAAGAAGUGUUUAUAUAUUUUAUUUGAAUUCUACUUUACUUCUUUGAUUCCCUAUACUUGUUUCUAUUUCCAACAUUCCUAUAGUGUAAAGUUGUGGUCACAUGUCAAACGUAUUUCAGGAAACGUAUUUCACGUCAAACGUAUUUCACGAAGUGUCAUAGUUAAUAAUUCAGUACAGUCUCUUUUGCGCAUGCGUACAUUGGGGUCUACAUCUUGCGAUGCAAACAGUACUGAGUUGGUUCAAAAUUUUCUUCCAAAGCCUAAUCGUGUUAUACCAAGCUUGAUAAUAUAUUUUGCUUUAGAGAAGGAAAAUGUUUAUAAGUUGUUACCACAUGUCCAGGUUACGAUUUUGUUUAUAAAAAUCGCAGUUCGGGUUCCCACGGAGGGGUUGGAGCACACACUAGGAACACAAUGAGUAACCGUCUGAUCAUCUCCAC
rnacentral:lncRNA from 1 species